rnacentral:rRNA from 1 species
GACGAACGCUGGCGGCGUGGAUUAGGCAUGCAAGUCGAACGGUAUCAUCCUUUCGGGGGUGAGAGAGUGGCGAACUGGUGAGUAACACGUAGGUUAUCUACCCUCAAGACGGGGACAACCCAGGGAAACUUGGGCUAAUACCCGGAUGUGAGCAACUUUUAGUUGUUUGAAAGGUGGCGUAAGCUGUCGCUUGGGGAUGAGCCUGCGUCCUAUUAGUUAGUUGGUGAGGUAACGGCUCACCUAGGCAAUGAUAGGUAGGCGGCCUUAACGGGUGGUCGCCCACACUGGGAUUGAGAUACGGCCCAGACUCCUACGGGAGGCAGCAGUCGAGAAUAGUCUACAAUGGUCGGAAGACUGAUAGUGCGACGCCGCGUGAACGAUGAAUCCCUUCGGGGUGUAAAGUUCUUUUAUAUGUGAGCAGUGCUUCUUAUAUUAACAGUAUGGGGAGAGAGAUAUUAGCAUAUGAAUAAGCAACGGCUAACUCCGUGCCAGCAGCCGCGGU